UGAAAUUGACAAGAGUCCGAAGGUUAAACGUAAAAAAUUAUUUGAUGACAGUAAGGUUAGUUUUACAAAUGAUAGUUUAUGAAUCGUAUUAAUUAUCUAUCUAAAUCCAAUAUUUAUUAUCGAGUUCAGAAGAGAUUGAAAUUCUAAAUAAUGGAAAAUCAAAGACUACUGAAUCAUUAUCUCCUCCCAGUGUUAAUGACGGCGAAUUUAAAGAUUCAGAUGUUGAAAUAAUUAAAGGCAAGGAUGUAAAACCAUCAGGUACAUCUGAAUUUGUAACUAAACAAGAACUAUCAGAAGCUAUUACAAUGGCAGUUAAUAAAAUUCUGUCAGCAAUGCCAUCAACAUCAUCAGCUACCUCAACACUGCGUGCUAAUCCGUCAAAAACUAAACAUACACAAAAAAAGAAAAAUGAUAUGGUUGAAUCAGGUGAACCAGGAAGAAACAUUUUUGUUACGGCUGAUCAGUAGAGAGCAGCGGAAUCGGCAACUACGUUUACAGCAAUGACUACAUCAUUGUUGGUUUCAGUGUUUUCAACUGAUGAGCUCAUUAAAUGUAACUACAAAGGUGGAGCACCUAAAAAUUCUAAAGAUAAGUCGAUUGUACACUCUAGAUUAGA